AACGAACGCUGGCGGCAUGCCUAACACAUGCAAGUCGAACGAGACCUUCGGGUCUAGUGGCGCACGGGUGCGUAACGCGUGGGAACCUGCCCUUAGGUUCGGAAUAACUCCCCGAAAGGGGUGCUAAUACCGGAUAAUGUCUUCGGACCAAAGAUUUAUCGCCGUUGGAUGGGCCCGCGUUGGAUUAGCUAGUUGGUAGUGUAAAAGCCUACCAAGGCGACGAUCCAUAGCUGGUAUGAGAGGAUGAUCAGCCACACUGGGACUGCGACACGGACCAGACUCGUACGCGAGGCAGCAGUGGGGAAUAUUGGACAAUGGGCGAAAGCCUGAUCCAGCAAUGCCGGGUGAGUGAUGAAGGCGUUAGGGUUGUAAAGCUCUUUUACCCGGGAUGAUAAUGACAGUACCGGGAGAAUAAGCACCGGCUAACUACGUG
rnacentral:rRNA from 1 species